UGAGACGUGUUGCAUAGGCGUAGCGAAUCGAGCGAAGCUAGCCAAUCUAGCCGGAAGUGUAAAGAGCGCGCCCCUACAAGCUAGCGAACCUAGACCCCUAGCGUAGCGAAGCUAGCGGCCUUUGGAGGUCCUACGCUUGCUAUUCAAAAUGGCCGACAUUGUUGUCGCUUUCAAGUUUGCAGAUGAGAGUUUCUUUGAUGCUCCCGUUAAAAAGGAGUAUUGGACCGGAUACAAAGUGAAACGAAUGUGGGAAAUCAAUGGACCAAAGGAGCAUACUUUUCCUCAUGGACACUUAUGCUGAACAUAAGGAACAAUUUGCAAUUCCAACUUGAAAAUAGAGGUAUGGAAGAGGAUUGCUUCGGAAAUGGCAGCCUCAGGAUGCCACUUUGCUCCAGCAGCACUUGAGAAAAAAAUGGAGCAAUAUGAAAAUAUGGUACAAAGCUAUAUUAGAUUUCAA